rfam:Clostridium tetanomorphum DSM 665 contig8, whole genome shotgun sequence.
UAAUAUCUUCAGGGCGGGGUGUGAUUCCCCACCGGCGGUAAAGCCCGCGAGCCGAAAGGCAUGAUUCGGUUAAAUUCCGAAGCCGACAGUAAAGUCUGGAUGAAAGAAGGUAUGA